CGGGCCUCUCGCGUCAGGAUAUGCCUAGGUGGGAUUAGCUAGUUGGUGAGGUAAUGGCUCACCAAGGCGACGAUCCCUAGCUGGUCUGAGAGGAUGAUCAGCCACACUGGAACUGAGACACGGUCCAGACUCCUACGGGAGGCAGCAGUGGGGAAUAUUGCACAAUGGGCGCAAGCCUGAUGCAGCCAUGCCGCGUGUGUGAAGAAGGCCUUCGGGUUGUAAAGCACUUUCAGUCGUGAGGAAGGUAGUGUAGUUAAUAGCUGCAUUAUUUGACGUUAGCGACAGAAGAAGCACCGGCUAACUCCGUGCCAGCAGCCGCGGUAAUACGGAGGGUGCGAGCGUUAAUCGGAAUUACUGGGCGUAAAGCGCAUGCAGGUGGUUUGUUAAGUCAGAUGUGAAAGCCCGGGGCUCAACCUCGGAAUAGCAUUUGAAACUGGCAGACUAGAGUACUGUAGAGGGGGGUAGAAUUUCAGGUGUAGCGGUGAAAUGCGUAGAGAUCUGAAGGAAUACCGGUGGCGAAGGCGGCCCCCUGGACAGAUACUGACACUCAGAUGCGAAAGCGUGGGGAGCAAACAGGAUUAGAUACCCUGGUAGUCCACGCCGUAAACGAUGUCUACUUGGAGGUUGUGGCCUUGAGCCGUGGCUUUCGGAGCUAACGCGUUAAGUAGACCGCCUGGGGAGUACGGUCGCAAGAUUAAAACUCAAAUGAAUUGACGGGGGCCCGCACAAGCGGUGGAGCAUGUGGUUUAAUUCGAUGCAACGCGAAGAACCUUACCUACUCUUGACAUCCAGAGAACUUUCCAGAGAUGGAUUGGUGCCUUCGGGAACUCUGAGACAGGUGCUGCAUGGCUGUCGUCAGCUCGUGUUGUGAAAUGUUGGGUUAAGUCCCGCAACGAGCGCAACCCUU
rnacentral:rRNA from 1 species